rnacentral:rRNA from 1 species
AACGAACGCUGGCGGCAUGCCUAACACAUGCAAGUCGAACGAGACCUUCGGGUCUAGUGGCGCACGGGUGCGUAACGCGUGGGAACCUGCCCUUAGGUUCGGAAUAACUCCCCGAAAGGGGUGCUAAUACCGGAUAAUGUCUUCGGACCAAAGAUUUAUCGCCUUUGGAUGGGCCCGCGUUGGAUUAGCUAGUUGGUAGGGUAAAAGCCUACCAAGGCGACGAUCCAUAGCUGGUCUGAGAGGAUGAUCAGCCACACUGGGACUGAGACACGGCCCAGACUCCUACGGGAGGCAGCAGUGGGGAAUAUUGACAAUGGGCGAAAGCCUGAUCCAGCAAUGCCGCGUGAGUGAUGAAGGCCUUAGGGUUGUAAAGCUCUUUUACCCGGGAUGAUAAUGGCAGUACCGGGAGAAUAAGCUCCGGCUAACUCCGUG